GGGGGCGACUGGUUUCGACAUGGUGGGUCCGAUGCGAGGAGCAAGCCGUGGUCUCCUCACCACGCUAAACAGGGGUACCGUCAAAAUUAAUUGGCAAAACCAACACUCAGUACGCUCCGGCGUACGCCAUGGCAGCUUAGUAAGCGCCAUCCGCCGAACCUGAUAUUUCCCCGCUUCAGGGAAGGCGUCAACUUCAGGGGAAUGCACUGCGCGCCGUAGCCGGUAUUCGCGCAGCCAAGACCGAACCGGCUCGCCAUUCCAACGUUUGCCUGCGAACCUAGGAUUGGCUAAGAACAAGACCCACAGGACAAGCUUGUAGCGUCUCGCAAAAGAUCCAGUAUGGACCGGAGUUCGAUUCUCCGCGCCUCCACCA
rnacentral:tmRNA from 1 species